rnacentral:lncRNA from 1 species
UACAGAAAAAUGUUGAUUAAUUAUUAAAAAAUGUUCUUGACAUAUAGAAGAUGUAGAGUGAGAACAAAAACAAACAUAAGAAAAAACAAUAAAUGGAGAAGAAAAAAAUACCAAACGAAAAAAGGAAAAUGAGAAAAUGCAAGAAAACAAAAAAGGCAGAAACAAAAUACAAGACAGAGAGAAAAUAAAAUGCUGAAGAAAAAAAA